rnacentral:rRNA from 1 species
UACGGGGGGGGCAAGCGUUGUUCGGAAUUACUGGGCGUAAAGGGCUCGUAGGUGGCCAACUAAGUCAGACGUGAAAUCCCUCGGCUUAACCGGGGAACUGCGUCUGAUACUGGAUGGCUUGAGUUUGGGAGAGGGACGCGGAAUUCCAGGUGUAGCGGUGAAAUGCGUAGAUAUCUGGAGGAACACCGAUGGCGAAGGCAGCUCGCUGGGACGGUACUGACGCUGAGACGCGAAAGCGUGGGGAGCAAACAGG